rnacentral:rRNA from 1 species
GUGUCAGCCGCCGCGGUAAGACAGAGGGUGCAAACGUUGUUCGGAAUUACUGGGCGUAAAGCGCGUGUAGGCGGCCCGGAAAGUCGGAUGUGAAAGCCCUGGGCUUAACCUAGGAAGUGCAUUCGAAACUGCUGGGCUUGAGUUCUGGAGAGGAAGGCGGAAUUCUCGGUGUAGAGGUGAAAUUCGUAGAUAUCGAGAGGAACACCGGUGGCGAAGGCGGCCUUCUGGACAGUGACUGACGCUGAGACGCGAAAGCGUGGGGAGCAAACAGGAUUAGAAACCCCCGUAGUCC